UGGAACUGAGACACGGUCCAGACUCCUACGGGAGGCAGCAGUGGGGAAUAUUGCACAAUGGGCGCAAGCCUGAUGCAGCCAUGCCGCGUGUAUGAAGAAGGCCUUCGGGUUGUAAAGUACUUUCAGCAGGGAGGAAGGUGUUGUGGUUAAUAACCGCAGCAAUUGACGUUACCCGCAGAAGAAGCACCGGCUAACUCCGUGCCAGCAGCCGCGGUAAUACGGAGGGUGCAAGCGUUAAUCGGAAUUACUGGGCGU
rnacentral:rRNA from 1 species